AUUACUAUAGACCUUUAUAAUAACCUUAUUAUAGCCAUUUAUAACAUUACCAUAGACCUUUAUAACAACAUUUCCAUAGAUCUUUAUAAUAACAUUACCAUAGACCUUUAUAAUAACAUUACCAUAGACCUUUAUAAUAACAUUACUAUAGACCUUUAUAAUAACAUUACCAUAGACCUUUAUAAUAACAUUACUAUAAUAACAUUACUAUAGACCUUUAUAAUAACAUUACUAUAAUAACAUUACCAUAGACCUUUAUAAUAACAUUACCAUGGACCUUUAUAAUAACAUUACCAUAGACCUUUAUAAUAACAUUACUAUAGACCUUUAUAAUAAAAUUACCAUAGACCUUUAUAAUAACAUUACCAUAGACCGUUAUAAUAACACUAUAGACCUUUAUAAUAACAUUACCAUAGACUGUUAUAAUAACAUUACCAUAGACCUUUAUAAUAACAUUACUAUAGACCUUUAUAAUAACAUUACUAUAGACCUUUAUAAUAACAUUACCAUAGACCUUUAUAAUAACAUUACUAUAGACUUUUAUAAUAACAUUACCAUAGACCUUUACAAUAACAUUACUAUAGACCUUUAUAAUAACAUUACCAUAGACCUUUAUAAUAACAUUACCAUAGACCUUUAUAAUAACAUUACUAUAGCCAUUUAUAAUAACAUUACCAUAGACCUUUAUAAUAACAUUACUAUAGACCUUUAUAAUAACAUUACCAUAGACCUUUAUAAUAACAUUACCAUAGACCUUUAUAAUAACAUUACUAUAGACCUUUAUAAUAACAUUACCAUAGACCUUUAUAAUAACAUUACCAUAGACCUUUAUAAUAACAUUACUAUAGACCUUUAUAAUAACAUUACUAUAGCCAUUUAUAAUAACAUUUCCAUAGACCUUUAUAAUAACAUUACCAUAGACCUUUAUAAUAACAUUACUAUAGACCUUUAUAAUAACAUUACCAUAGACCUUUAUAAUAACAUUACCAUAGACCUUUAUAAUAACAUUACUAUAGACCUUUAUAAUAACAUUACUAUAGACCUUUAUAAUAACAUUACUAUAGACCUUUAUAAUAACAUUACCAUCGACCUUUAUAAUAACAUUACUAUAGACCUUUAUAAUAACAUUACUAUAGACCUUUAUAAUAACAUUACCAUCGAUCUUUAUAAUAACAUUACUAUAGACCUUUAUAAUAACAUUACCAUAGACCUUUAUAAUAACAUUACUAUAGACCUUUAUAAUAACAUUACCAUAGACCUUUAUAAUAACAUUACUAUAGACCUUUAUAAUAACAUUACCAUAGACCUUUAUAAUAACAUUUCUAUAGACCUUUAUAAUAACUUUAUUAAGUAGGUCCUGCCGAGGCAGAGAUGAAGUCACUAACUGAAAGAUUUAAAGAGAUUUAACAGCAGCUGUCGGAUAAAAGAAAGACAUGUUUAACUUUGUUCUGUUUGUUAUUGGCUGUCGGGUGGAUUUCCAAACGUCAGCCAUCUGGAGCUCUGUUGUCAGACCUUCACUGCUGCACCUGAAUGCACCACCAGGAAGGACUCGCAUCGCCGCCGUUUUAACACAUUUAAAAUUCUGAAAUUAUCUUUUAAAAAGGAUUUUAUAAAUAGCCAAUCAGGUCACACACACCGGAGGGCUUUUUAUGUCCCAUUUUUAUUUCCUGAGGAAAUGAUUUCUUCUCUCAUUUCAUCAGUUUUUAUUUUCCAUCUCUCUGUUUCCUCUCUGAUUAAAUAAGUAAAUUAUGAUCUCAGGCUGCAGGUGCCUCGUUUGGCUCUCCGGCGCCGUCUGAGCGUGCUCAGAGGCGGCGUGUCUCGGCCCACGCCAUGGCGCCGUCGGCCACUCGCCUUCCUCUGCUACGUCUUGUCCCUCAGUGCUCUGCGGCCGUGGGCCAAACGGAUUUCCUGCCUGUUCUGUCACUCUCAGCUGUUUUAAAUAAUAAACCCUCAGAACUCUACCUGCUCAGGUUCAGGGACCAAUCAUUAGAAUCCUGUUCCCCAGCUGCACUCGCGCUUGCAGCUGGGAGAACUCAUCCUGCCGCUGGGAUGGUGGUAUUAAAGGGUCAUUUCUGGGUUUGUUUCCAACCUGGACUCUAUGUUCCCAUGCAUUGGUCUUUAAGUGUCUGAUGUGAACAACAAUCUCUGGAACUGGUCCAGUAUUAAACCAGAACCAAGCUGUAAUGUAACCCUACAGGACUAAUGUUCAGCAGC